rnacentral:rRNA from 1 species
AUUGAACGCUGGCGGCAGGCUUAACACAUGCAAGUCGAGCGGAGAUGAGGUGCUUGCACCUUACCUUAGCGGCGGACGGGUGAGUAUGCUUAGGAAUCUGCCUAUUAGUGGGGGACAACAUUCCGAAAGGAAUGCUAAUACCGCAUACGUCCUACGGGAGAAAGCAGGGGAUCUUCGGACCUUGCGCUAAUAGAUGAGCCUAGGUCGGAUUAGCUAGUUGGUGGGGUAAAGGCCUACCAAGGCGACGAUCUGUAGCGGGUCUGAGAGGAUGAUCCGCCACACUGGGACUGAGACACGGCCCAGACUCCUACGGGAGGCAGCAGUGGGGAAUAUUGGACAAUGGGGGGAACCCUGAUCCAGCCAUGCCGCGUGUGUGAAGAAGGCCUUAUGGUUGUAAAGCACUUUAAGCGAGGAGGAGGCUACUGAGACUAAUACUCUUGGAUAGUGGACGUUACUCGCAGAAUAAGCACCGGCUAACUCUGUGCCAGCCGCCGCGGUAAGAC